rnacentral:lncRNA from 1 species
GGAAAAACCAUUCCCACAGGGAAUACGGGCUGAAGAGUACAUUUGCAGAAACUUGGUGGAAAUGGGGUGGGGCUGGAGGGUCCUCCAAAUACUACCUAUGAAAGAAAGAAAGAAAGAAAGAAAGAAAGAAAGAAAGAAAGAAAGAAAGGUGAUUUAAAAUGGAGGCCUGUGUUCCUAUUUACUUCCUUAGUUGGGGAAAGCCUAGAAUCUUCUUAUUCAGGACCUUCCAGGAAUAUUUGUGCAUAUAAUUAAAGUCUUAUCCUUUUUUUUUUUUAAACUCUUGGUACUGUUGAAGUUGCAUGUUGCCUGAUGCUCAUGAGGUCUCAAGUGCCAUGUUUGAUAACGAAAUGUGUUUAUUUUUUGUUUUUUGCUUUUUUUUUUUUUGCUCCCCCGCCCCCCGCUCCCGCCCCUCUGCUGCUGACAGAUAAUUGAUGGUCUACCAUUUCCCUCUGCAACAUGGUGGUUGUAUCCAGAGAAAAAUGUAUCUUUAGAAAGAUUCCUUUUGCAGGGGAAGGGAGUGGAUACAGUGGAUACAGUGUAGCCCUGUGGUUUUAGGGUGGACCUGAAGCAUGCUUGAGAGCAGCUGCAUUGUGGCGUUGGGAGGGAGGUGCUGCAGCGGGGCGUGAUAGUGGGAGACUGCAGUGUCUAGGCAUUGUCUGCCAUUCCUAAGUAUUUUAACCAUAAAAUGACUAACAAACAGGAAAUUAGGUGGCUGCUGCAUAGAGUACCUUUGACCACAUUUCAAUACUAAAUUCACAGUUUUGACUUAAAAUUUUCACCCUUCCAGUGACAAUUACGUCAUUCCUUCAUCGCCUCAUGAGUUUAAAAAACCCAAAGAGAAAACAAAACAACAACAACAAAACUCAAAAGGGAAAAAAAAAGCUAUUUAAAAACAGCAGAGCCCUUAAUUCUUGCUUGUUACUCUAUGGUGAGAUACUUCAGGUAGAUGCUAUGUUGGAUGUGUCUGUUGUUUUUCACUGCGUCGUCAUGUGAAGGAGGUUUGCAGUUGUGUCAUUGUGUGUCUGUUGUGUGCUGCUUCUGCUGCUUUCCAAGGCCAUCAUCCAGGUGAAGUGUGACAAGCCUGUUUCUUAACCCACGCCCUCACUUUCCUUUCUCAGGUGCUGGAGAGUCUGGCAAAAGCACCAUUGUGAAGCAGAUGAGGAUCCUGCAUGUUAAUGGGUUUAACGGAGAGUAAGUGUCAAAUCUGAGCAGGGCACUGAGCAGGACAGGUGGUAUGGACCUGGCCUGCAGGAGACAGGACGUUUGAAGGAGUGUAUACUAACCUCUAGAAAGCACAGCUGCUAAUUGCCACUAAUCAUUUUUUUCUAAUUUGCAUAUUAGACAGCCCAAGAAAGAGCUGAUGGGUGCACCCCCACACCCUUCUCAACCUUUGGGGCAACAAAUAGGAAUAAGAGUAGAAGCACCGGUGUCCACCCAAAGCAGCCCCUCGCGCUGGAACAUGGUGCCUGGUUGCAGAGGACAGUGAACAGCACUUGGCCGGGUGACAGCGUCUCUGAGGCCAGGUCCUCUGCGGCCGCAGCCUCGCCUGCUGCAGUGCAGCUCCAACAUGGCCGACGGGCCUUGGCCACCCCUUGGCCAGCCAGAGCUGGCCAGCACAGGAGGUUCCCACCCACCACCCUGCAGGUUUCACUGGAGUCAACUGGUGUAGGGUUUUGUACUCUCAGGAAAACAUCUUUUCAGUUACAUCUUCACUUAAAAAUUGGAAUCCACAACCCUUGCCGACAGGCUCUAAGCUUCCGAGUCCCUCCCUGCUUCAGAAUUGGUGGGAUAGGCAGAGACUUAUUUCUCUAAUUAAAAAAAAAAAUCAAUACUUCUACCUGAACAACUGAAAAGGAGGUAUGAAAAUGGCGCAGAGACAGGGAGUUAGCUACUUCUGCCCAAUCCAGGAGCUGUUUUGCCUUUGAAAUGACCUUCCUGGCUUAAGACAAUAUGGCGAGGCAAUACCACAGUGAGAGUGACGAUUUUUCUUAAAAAGAGACAGAUACAUGGCAAGCAAGGGGUCCUGCCUUCCAUGAAGAAUGCAGACCGAGGAGACAGCCAAUCAGUAAGGAAUUGGCCUUUCCCCUUGGCCCCCGUUGUUCUCAGUGCUGAUAAGAAACAGCAAGGGUCAGGGACUUAGCUGACCCUAGCGAGGGGGACCAGCUUCUGUCCCCUACCAUGCACCGAGUGCUGGGGAGACAAAAUUGAGCAGCACCUUUCAGGGUACCACAAGCGAAUGUUCAUGGAAACUUCUAGAAUUUGUUAGUUUAACUAAUCCGGUUUAAAAAACAAGAUGACAUCAGCCACAUGAAAGCUUUGGGUCCGUGUGUGCUCCUUAAGUUACAGCCCCAAAAUUCAUAGUUAGUUAAUAUGCAGAAGGGAGGGGGGCUAGCUCACUGGCUUUAGGAUUGACUCAAUUACUACUUUGUACCUAUAAUCUAUUAAAUAAUUCAUUGUUGCCUAUCAGACACAAAUUCUGGAACUAUUGAUUCCUGAUAUGCCUCUCUCAAGAAGUCUAUACAAGGAGAUUGGCACCUGUCAGUCAACAAAAAAGAACCCAGAUAACACCCUGCCCCAGGUGUGAGGGACUCUUCAAUAUGAGGCUGGUUAAGCAAAUAUUUCUUCAAAAAUAUUCGUGGUGAAAGCUGGAGGAGGCUGCUAAGCAGCUUUUAAAAUGCGGUAGCCAUUGUCUAACCUGAUGAGAGCCGUGUCAUCCCUGAGGCUUAAUUGCUUCACAAAUUUCCCUAAAAUCUUACUUUUUAAUAUUAGUUUUCCCUGAGUGUUAAUGUGGUGGAGGAUUCUAAACCAGGACUUCUCAUUUCUAUUUUCUCUCUGAAAAGAGGAAGAAGCCUUCGCAGUUUGCCUUCCUUGUGGGUCUCCAAGAUGUUAAAUUUAGCCUGAGAAAGUGAUAUUCAGGCCUCCAUGGGGGGCUGGAUUCCUUAUUUUGACCCAGUCGAACGAUGGUUCUCUCACUGUGGUAUAGCAGUAAAAGCGGCUCCGUCUGACCCUCACCUCAGUCCCGCUCUCAGUUCUUGGACAGAGCUAUUAAAUGUGUCCUAACUGUCCAUGGCCUGCCUACCACUACAUUUUUCGAGAGUAGAACAUAAUAUUUAUUUGACCUUCAGAAAUACAGAGGGCAAAGUAGAUUUUCCUAACACAGAGCUAACUUUCUGAAGUUUAAUGCC